rnacentral:rRNA from 1 species
AGUGAACGCUGGCGGUAGGCCUAACACAUGCAAGUCGAACGGCAGCACAGUAAGCGCUUGCUCUUACGGGUGGCGAGUGGCGGACGGGUGAGGCAUACAUCGGAAUCUACUUUUUCGUGGGGGAUAACGGAGGGAAACUUACGCUAAUACCGCAUACGACCUACGGGUGAAAGCAGGGGAUCUUCGGACCUUGCGCGAUUGAAUGAGACGAUGUCGGAUUAGCUAGUUGGCGGGGUAAAGGCCCACCAAGGCGACGAUCCGUAGCUGGUCUGAGAGGAUGAUCAGCCACACUGGAACUGAGACACGGUCCAGACUCCUACGGGAGGCAGCAGUGGGGAAUAUUGGACAAUGGGCGCAAGCCUGAUCCAGCCAUACCGCGUGGGUGAAGAAGGCCUUCGGGUUGUAAAGCCCUUUUGUUGGGAAAGAAAAGCAGCAGGUUAAUACCCCGCUGUUCUGACGGUACCCAAAGAAUAAGCACCGGCUAACUUCGUG